GGACGUCAUUUCAGUACGUAAGUGACGUAGAGAAUAGCGUAUCUCACCCAGCCCACUAAACGUACGUAACCGCCGUCAAACAUGACACUACUACUUCCGGUUGUUUUUGUUUUGGAUUCGGACGUGUGUCAGAACCUCCUUCUGAAAACCGCUAAAAAUAAAUACAAUUGUGUUUAUUACAAACUACGAUGGUUACAGUAUCGUUAAUACUGAUUUAUACACUUAUUUAGGUCUGAAUUCCUCCUUCGGCUAUAAAUUAUACUGACUUCCGCCGACAGUUAUCUGUAAUCUGUCCUUAUUACAGUAAUGCAGUCUGUCUAAACACUGUAUUACAGGUUACAUUACAAUAUUCAAAGUACACACGUUUUAGUAUCAUCAGAGCAGUUUUUGGAUAUAUCAGUGUUACAUUUCUCUGUUUCAGAACCUCCAUCUGAAAACGAUUAGAAAUAUCUUAAUUCCACUGAUCAGCUUCUGUCCUUGUCCAUGUGACUGUUCUGAAAAGGUGCAAGUUAAAGACUGUAGUAGUUAACAUAGUAAACUCAUUUUAUUAGUUAACAUAGUAAACUCAUUUCUUUAUAGUUUCAACUGCGGUCGGAUACAGAAUGAAUCUGUUAAAGGAAAAAUAAAAGUUGUCCUAUUCAAGUUGUGAGAAGCUCUGACGGGAAUAUUGGCUAUUUUUAUUUUAGCACAUUCAGAAUGUUUGUACAUAAAAACAGAGACUGCGUAAUACGUCCAUCAGCACACAUUGAUAGAAAUAUACAAUACACAGUUUAUAUUUACAAAUAUACAAUAUAUAGAAAAGUUUAUAUUUACAAAUAUACAAUAUAAAGAAGUUUAUAUUUACAAAUAUACAAUAUAUAGAAGUUUAUAUUUACAAAUAUACAAUAUAUAGAAGUUUAUAUUUACAAAUAUACAAUAUAUAGAAGUUUAUAUUUACAAAUAUACAAUAUAAAGAAGUUUAUGUAACUGGAUGAAAUGCAGUGUUUUUCUUUGGAAUUUGUUGUUUGAAGAGGCUUCAGUUAAUCAGUAUAAUGAUCAAUAUAAUGAUCAGUAUAAUGAUCAGUAUAAUAAUCAGUAUAGAGUUCAGUACUACAGUAUAAUAAUCAGUAUAUUGAUCAGUAUAUUGAUCAGUAUAUUGAUCAGUACUGCAGUAUAGUCAGCAGGUUGUAAGUGAUGGUGUCUCUGAUGACCUCGGCGGUGCAGUACGUGUCUCCGUCGUACGGUUCCGUCUCAGGUUGUCUCAGGUAACUUCCAGAAGGAUCCGUCUCUGCAUUCCACUCGGGGAGGAAACUGUCUCCGCGGGUCUCGCAGAUGUUGUGCAGGACGCAGCACGCGGCGACCACUCGGGGCAUCAUGGAGACGUCGAUGUCGCUUUUCUUCAGCAAACACCGCCAGCGUCCUUUCAGCCGCGCGAAGGCGUCGUCCACCACGGAGCGGGCGGAGGCCAGGGUGUAGGAGAAGCGGCGCUGCUCGGGGGACAGCUGGUGCUCCGGGCUGUAACCUUUCAUCAGCCACGGCUUCAGAGGGAACGAUGCGUCGCCGAUGAGGUGGACGGGGAUUUCCACUCCGUCAGACACCAGGGACUUCUGAAAGACAGACACAGCAGGGUUUCUGAUAACAAUACAUCGGUUAUAUAAUAUUCAGCAUUAUGGCUGAUUAAGGAACUAAUGAGCUGGUUCAUCUACAGCAUCAUCUUCAACCUGCAGAGGAAGAUUCACUGAUGAGCUGACACUGACUGUAACAGCUUCUUAAAUAAUUAUAUUUGAGUGAAAUAUUGUUCUUUACAACUUUUGUUAUAUAAUAAUAAUAAUACUUUCAUUAUCUUACAUCUGUAACUGAAUAUAUCUGAAUAAUUAAUAAUGAUGAGACUCAGUAGAACUAUUGAAUAGACAAAUUACUUUGAACAACCGUAGGAACCUUUAAUCUCCGGUGCACCGACCUCUCUGGGGAACAGGUAUCCGUCCGGGCGGUCCUCUGCCUUCAGGUACAGGUCUGAGCUGGAGAGCACGGAGGCGCUGCUGGUGCUUCCGGGCCAACCGGCGUAGACGUCCGUGAAACUGAGAUGGACAGAAGACACACGUUAAGAGACGGAGGACGCUGUCUGGGGUUCAGUAUCUGGCCUAAGGACACCGCCCUCUGAUUACUCACCACAGGUUGUGGUCCACCACCGCCUGCAGGAUCACGGAGUGCCAGCCCCUCUUGUUGAUGUAGUGGUCGGGGUUUUCUCUGGGGGGGGCGAUGGGGAUGUGGGUCCCGCCAAUGGCCCCCACACACUGCGGGUAGCAGCGGUCCUUAUAUGGAAAGCCAAAAAGGUCAAAAGUCCUCACUAUCAAACGUCAGUGCUCUGAGUCAGUCCUCCUGUCUCACUCUCUGCUAACCUUUCUACAACCAGAGUAACAUCAGAGUAACAUCAGAGUAACAUCAGAGUAACGUCAGAGUAACAUCAGAGUAACAUCAGAGUAACGUCAGAGUAACGUCAGAGUAACGACAGAGUAACGUCAGAGUAACGACAGAGUAACGUCAGAGUAACGUCAGAGUAACGUCAGAGUAACGACAGAGUAACGUCAGAGUAACGUCAGAGUAACAUCAGAGUAACAUCAGAGUAACGAUAGAGUAACGAUAGAGUAACGUCAGAGUAACAUCAGAGUCACGUCAGAGUAACGAUAGAGUAACAUCAGAGUAACGACAGAGUAACAUCAGAGUAACAUCAGAGUAACAUCAGAGUAACGACAGAGUAACAUCAGAGUAACGACAGAGUAACGAUAGAGUAACAUCAGAGUAACAUCAGAGUAACAUCAGAGUAACGACAGAGUAACAUCAGAGUAACGACAGAGUAACAUCAGAGUAACAUCAGAGUAACAUCAGAGUAACAUCAGAGUAACAUCAGAGUAACGUCAGAGUAACAUCAGAGUAACGACAGAGUAACAUCAGAGUAACAUCAGAGUAACGAUAGAGUAACAUCAGAGUAACGUCAGAGUAACGUUAGA